CCCUCCUCAGUCACCUGUCUCUAAAUAAGCAUCUGGGCCCAAAGCAAUACAAACUGAAUGAGGUUCAGCCCUGCUCACCCAUCCCUUUUCUCCUCUCCCUGCAGGGUUGUUUCCUUCCCCAGCACUCCUCACUUGUCCUCACCUUGUAGUUGAUAAUUAAAUCAUACAGGGAUCUUAUGAAAGCUCCUGGGAUGGCUAAGCCUGGAGCCUUUCCCACUCAGGACUGGGAUGCUUUAGGCUUCAGACUUCCCAUGUUUGGUGCUACCCAUACUGCACCAACAAGCAGUGACCACCCCAACCACCAUGGCAUCUAUUCAUCCCAAAAGUGAGCCCUAUGGCAGGUGUCAGGGUGCACCUGCAGGUGGCAUCAGCACGUGGGUGAUGUUAUGCUGGCUUCAAAUGCCCAGCAUCCAUAUUGGUAUCCUCCCCACAUGAUUCUGAUGGGAUGAUACUAUAGCAAGACAUUAUGAAAACAUGAUGGCAGCUUGUCAGUUUAAGCUUCUGCAGCCAGUGCCUCAGUUUCCCAGAGGGAUGAUGUGAAGGUGCCUCGAGAGCCAACUGCAAGGAGAGAGACUGUGAAACAUGGGAGAGUGGGGACAGAUUGAAAAGCUGCGCUUGGAUUUGGGGCUGUUUCACAACCCGCUUCACCCUCAAGAAGUGUGAAACCAAACUGCUUGUUGGUAUCUAAGGGCAGGAAAAUCCGCGGCGCUGCAGCUCUGAGACGGGAAAGUGAAAGCAAUGGAGAGGAAACCCCGAGGCCACAGGUGCGGCCACAG